UACGUAGGGUGCGAGCGUUACUCGGAAUUACUGGGCGUAAAGCGUGCGCAGGCGGUUCGUUGUGUCGGCGGUGAAAGCCCCGGGCUUAACCUGGGAAUGGCCGUUGAAACUGGCGAACUGGAGUGUGGCAGAGGGGGGUGGAAUUCCGCGUGUAGCAGUGAAAUGCGUAGAGAUGCGGAGGAACACCGAUGGCGAAGGCAGCCCCCUGGGCCAAUACUGACGCUCAUGCACGAAAGCGUGGGGAGCAAACAGG
rnacentral:rRNA from 1 species